AGAAUAUAGGAUAGAACUGGGAUUAUGAAGAAGAAAAACAUUUGCAACUGAAGAGCUUCCUGAACCAAAAGAGCUCUUCUUGCUUUUAAUAGUUUUUAAUGGAAUUUUCUUCCAUUAAUUCAUCUAAUUGUUUUUUUUUUUGGUGCAUAUAUAAAUUGUUGGCAUCCAGUUUUCUCUAGCAAAGGGUUACCAUGCACAGAAGAACCUCUCUGUGUUUUACUUUAACCUGCCAUCAGCAUUUGUUUUGAGCCUACACAUAAUAAGUUUGAUCUUUUUCUGGAAGAAUCAGCAAACUGUUCUGCUUCAUGUUCUACACAAGAUACACAAUCCUCUGUCAUCUCUCAUCUUGCCUGUCUCUUUUUCAGGCUGAAGAAUCUCAGUGUAUUUAAGGUCUCCCUGAAACAGUCCUACGUCACUGAUUUAAGAAGAAUAAUGCAUCACAGAAACUAAUUAGGAAUGCUGCUUCGAAAACAUGGGCUGGCACAUCACCUUGUGAUGACACAGCACAAAGAAUCUGUCAGCCUACAUGCACCACUGAACUGGGGAUUGUUGCAGUGUAAGAGAGAGCAGACACUGGGUGUUACCUGCUGACACACAGCAGCUGCCAAAUUUCCUCCUGCGCUGUCGCCAGAAAUUGCAAUUCGACUUGGGUCAACUGAGUACUCAGCUAAGACAUCAGGCUGCAAAAAAUGCUGAAUGGCACGAAGAGCAUCAUGGAAUUGCUCAGGGAAGCACACCUCUGGUACCAGCCUGUAUCUACCAAGAAGAGAAGUGAGAGACAAUUAUUAAUGCUGUUGACCUCUCCUUCAGGAUUAAGAGGUGGUAUCAGUUAUUCCUUAAUGGUAGCACUGGGAGUGGCCAUUAAGGAUGGGAAAAGUCCCUCUUGCUACCUGAGGAGGCAUAGAGAUAUGGUUCAGCCUUCUUUCAGAUGAAGCCAUAGAAGGCAUCUGGGCUGUAUGGACUUCCUGAUGUCACAAGAGAAACAGGGAAGGAAAAGAAAGAAAGUCUCCCAUUGGAUCUGGAUCACAGAGCAGCCAGCUGAGUACCAGAGUGGAGACAAUCACUACUGAAUUCAGGUAGCUCUGGGGAAAUGUGGCUGGUGAACUUCACAGCAUUAUGGGCUGGAGUGAGUAAUGGGCUGACAGACAUGAAGUGAGCUUAGCUGCUGGGAAACAAGGCAGAGCUGGAGGACCCCAGAAGGCGGGGGCCAGACAGGCCAGUGAGGCAAACGUCAGCACAGGACAUUAAAAAGGGCGCAGGAACGAGGCUCUGAAAAUCCAGCUGCAAUCCACUUGAAAUUUUGCUCAGGCAGCAUGCUGGGGGAGCAUCAUGGCCCUUCUGUCCAUACCAUUAAUGAAUCUGGUCAAGCUGAGAACUUGUUCUUCAGUCACUUGAGUGAAAAACGUGCAGCAAGUGUCAAGCCGUAGAUUUUACUGAAGAAUGAAGCUACUGUUGGGUUUUAUCCUUUUGUCCUAAAGAUAUGCUUUGAUUCAGCCAUACCAUGAGAAGAUGCACCAAUGGCUCAGAUGAGUGGUCUACCUACUCUCAGACUCUGUCUCCAGCAGUGGCAACCAAAGAAGCCAUUCAGGCAGAACAUGCAAGUCUUGACACUGUGCGGUCCACUCUCCUCAUACUUCUCAGUAUCUGCACUUACAGUAUUAUGAACACACAAGGUAAUUCCAUCUAGUCCUUUUGGCAACCAUUUAUGGGCCCUCUGUUCACUAAUGCAUUGUCUUUUUGCAAAUUGCUGCUGAUGACGUAACUGUCAUGUCUUGAGACAAAACCAAGCAUUCAGAGAGUUUUGUUCAGUCGUAUGAUGCCAAAUCAAGGUAGUUUCAUAUUUUAAAGAGCUUCCCUAUGUCUUCUUUCCUUAAGGCAUACUUAAUGUAUCUGAAUGAAAACAAAAAAAAAGGUUUUUUUGUUC